CCCAUGAUCCCUCACUCCCCCUCACCUGAUCAUCAUCAGCACACCUGCCAACUAUUGUCAUUAGUCACCUUAUAUAUACUGUGUUUGUCUUCGUCACCUUGUCGAUCACUGUUUAUUUACUGUUGUUUAUGUUCCUGUAAUGUUCCAGUUUUUGUUCCCGUCUUUGUUAUAUUAACAAAAGUAUUAUUUAAUUUAUUACGUCAGUCUCAUCUUACCUUCAUCAUCCACCACAGCCUGACAGAAUGAUUGACCAAGACAUGAUUACCAGCAGCUAUUCUCCAGAGGACUUUAAUAGCUUCACCAUCUUCCAGGAUCGCCGGCCUCUGGAGAACUACGUGCUGGAAAUCACGGACAAUGCCCAUCAGUGUCCGGUUACUACCUCUGAGAUCUGCAAACCCCUGCGCCAGAUUGCGUCACCAUUCCUGCCUCUGUUCCCCGCAAGCCGAUGACUCGCCCAUCUGAUCCCAGUAAGAUGAAGACUCUCUCCUCUGAUCCCCGCGAGCCGAGGACUCUCUAGGACAUUACAAAAAUACUCAGACAUAUUGGCCUGAGAAUUUAAGAAAACUGUUGAUCUACUGGGAUUUUAUGCACAACCAUCUCUAGAGUACAGUAAAUCCAGUAAAUGUUUUGAAAAAGAGAAAAUGGAGAGUUUGGUUCCAAAACAAGAUAACACUGAUUAUAAAAUGUUUGUCUAACAUGUUUAUUAUUAUGUUAUCAUGUUUUUAUCGUUUUUCUAAACAGAUUUUUGAAAAAUUACAAAAAUAAUUAUCUCGUUUUGGAACCAAACUAUUCAAAUAUAGUGAGUGGUAGUUGUGAAAACAAAAAUGCUUUGUUGAUGUCAGAGGUCAGAUGAGAAUGGGCAGACUGUUUUGAGAUAAUAAAAAGGCAAACGUAACUCAUAUAACUAUCCGUUACAACCAA